rnacentral:rRNA from 1 species
UACGUAGGGUGCGAGCGUUGUCCGGAAUUAUUGGGCGUAAAGAGCUUGUAGGCGGUCUGUCGCGUCUGCUGUGAAAAUCCGGGGCUCAACCCCGGACUUGCAGUGGGUACGGGCAGACUAGAGGUGUGGUAGGGGAGACUGGAAUUCCUGGUGUAGCGGUGAAAUGCGCAGAUAUCAGGAGGAACACCGAUGGCGAAGGCAGGUCUCUUGGGCCACUA